GACGAACGCUGGCGGCGUGCUUAACACAUGCAAGUCGAACGGAAAGGCCCUGCUUUUGUGGGGUGCUCGAGUGGCGAACGGGUGAGUAACACGUGAGUAACCUGCCCUUGACUUUGGGAUAACUUCAGGAAACUGGGGCUAAUACCGGAUAGGAGCUCCUGCUGCAUGGUGGGGGUUGGAAAGUUUCGGCGGUUGGGGAUGGACUCGCGGCUUAUCAGCUUGUUGGUGGGGUAGUGGCUUACCAAGGCUUUGACGGGUAGCCGGCCUGAGAGGGUGACCGGCCACAUUGGGACUGAGAUACGGCCCAGACUCCUACGGGAGGCAGCGGUGGGGAAUAUUGCACAAUGGGCGGAAGCCUGAUGCAGCAACGCCGCGUGCGGGAUGACGGCCUUCGGGUUGUAAACCGAUUUCGCCUGUGACGAAGCGUGAGUGACGGUAAUGGGUAAAGAAGCACCGGCUAACUACGUG
rnacentral:rRNA from 1 species